UACGUAGGGGGCAAGCGUUGUCCGGAAUCAUUGGGCGUAAAGAGCGCGUAGGCGGCCCAGUAAGUCCGCUCUGAAAGUCAGGGGCUCAACCCCUGGAUGCGGGUGGAUACUGCUGGGCUAGAGUCCGGAAGAGGAGAGUGGAAUUCCUGGUGUAGCGGUGAAAUGCGCAGAUAUCAGGAGGAACACCCGUGGCGAAAGCGGCUCUCUGGGACGGUACUGACGCUGAGACGCGAAAGCGUGGGGAGCAAACAGG
rnacentral:rRNA from 1 species